rnacentral:misc_RNA from 1 species
CCGAGGGGCAUUAUUGCCAUCUAUUUGUCUCAAAGAGUUUUGAGGGCCAUUAUUACAAAUUUCAAGAAUGCAAAAUCCCAUGCUAGUUUGAAAAUUUAGCAUUUGGUAACAGUAAUUCUUAUCUAUAUGGCACGAAUCACAUGUAGACUAUUAAGCUUGAGUUCUUUUAAUGAAUACAACCGAAUGAUGAGCUUAUUUAUUAUCUAUAUCUAUAUCAUCACCACUCUCUUUAAUUGGAAGGAUGAUUAUCGACUUGGUAUAUAUACCUAGUAAAACUAAAUCAAAGAAACAAAAAUUAAUUAACGAACAAUUGCUGAUGGAUUGAUGACGUUGUACGCCACUCAGAGUCACGAAGCUUCAGUCGGUGUUAAUUGCAAUACUGUACAUGGGUGUCCCUCAAAAGUUCUCUUUAUGAAAAUCGAACUUAGUGGAGGUCCGGUGAGAGAAGUCCAAAGCCAGUUGCCUUAGCUCUUUCGUGAGUGCUGGUGCCCCACAGUAGAAAACUCCAAUUCUUGCAUCUGGAUGAUGGAGAGCUAUUUUCUUGUAGACUUGGCGCCAGUUAGGCUUGGCAAAGUGCGAUUUGACUCGGGUGCCAGAAACCACAUCCACACCAUUCUUUGCAUGGUGGAGCGACUGGAGCAUUGCAAUCAGGGCUGACCUGGCGUCCCCUUCUUCAUACACGCUGGUGCAGUAGUUGUGCAGCUCUAUCACCCCCUUAUCGUCCAUUUCAGCUACCUCGUUCAUUAUCCCUUUGAACCACUCGAACGAACCUUGUUCCCUCGUCACCCAAUAGAAGUAGGCUUUUCUCGUCUUACUAUUAUAAUUAUUAUUAGGAGUUGCUCUCCCACCCUCUAAGGCUGUCUCACGACCAUCUUCUUCCUUCAUGUUAUUGAUGAUGUCCUUUACAAUGCUGAUCAUGGGCGUGGCACCAAUGCCAAGCCCUACCAACAGCACCACGUCGUAUUUCUUGUAGUCCUGAGCCGGAGCUCCAUAUGGACCGUCGAUCAAUAUCUUUGGGAAGCUAGGGUCGUUCCCGCCUUGCGUGCCCUCAGCUCUUAGUAGUCCACUCUUGCCAGCAGCUGGAGGCUGACAAACCUCAGAGAAAACAGUUUUGAGUUGCCGUGUCCAGUCUCCCAGUGUUCGAAUGUGCACGCUAAGGUAGUCAUCUCCUGGUGCUGACGUGAUAGAAAAUGGGUGCCAUUCGAAGGGAGACACUGCGGCGCAGUUGACGAACAUGUACUGUCCACUCUUGUAUCGAAACUGGGAAGGCUUUGACAUUUGCAAUGUGAGGACAUUACCAGGAUAAAUUGCAACCUUCUGAAGCUGGACAGUAUAGAAGCCAGAACGAAAAAAUCUCAGGGCUCUUUCUCCGGCAUAUAGUAAAACUGGAACAGCAAGAUACAUCCAUGUCGUCUUUAGGUACCAUCUAUGCACUAGAUAGAGGAAUACACCAUGGAUUACGAGCAGGAUGUAGACAAGGACAAAUAGGUGGUGUGAAUACCAGAAUGCAUUGAACCCAGUAAGUCUAUCGAAGGGUUUUGGAAACUUAAUGAGGCUCCGCCUGAACCACCGGGUUGCGAGUGUAAACGCAAUUGCCAUUAAGAUAACCAUUACUAUUCCAGUCACGCCCUCUGCCCCUCUAGCCAAUUCAGCAUACGUGGGCUUUUGUUCUCCGAAGUCAUUUUUUAAAUACUUCUGGUAGUCAUCAUGAGAAGAAUUUAUCAGCUUCGGAAAAUCACAUGCAAGAUGGUUUCCAGCAUGGAGAAUAAUGCCAAUUACAAUUGCAGCCGCAAUAGUCUUGUGAAAAUUGAUGUUAUCGUCAAAGGGAACGAAGUAACCCAAUCUUGUGGAUCUGAGCCAGGUGAUGGUAUUUCUACACACAGGCAAGAGAAUGAGAGCCAUGUUGAGCUUCAAAGUCUCCGCUGCACCUUUUGCUGCUAGAAGACAAUAACCCAUGACUUUGAAAGCAUUUUUUUGCUUGUAUUGGAUGAAUUUCCAUGUGAACAAGCCGAUCAUUAUCAAAACCCAUAGUGCUAAAACCCAAAUUCUCCUCCAAUUCUCUUGUAAAAAGUAGAUUAGCUGCCCGCUUAACCUCCUUAUUGGGCCUCUCCUUCUCAGUCCUUGUAAGUUUUGGCUCAAAGCCUGGCUGGUGUAGCUUAGCGCUUGACUAUAGCUGAGAUACGUGUCCUUUUGGAGAAGAAGCGUCUCCAAUUGCCACAGCUCAACGUAGCCAAGUCUUUCAGGGUCCAACUCUUCCAUGAUCAAAGCUGCGUACUCCUCUGCUUGUUCCUUUAAUCUUGACAACUUGUUUGCAGAUGCACUUAGCAUGAUAAUCUCUUUUACUUCUUCUUCAGUAAUUCUUCCAUCUUCAUUCUUGUUCAUCAUGUCGAAGAAGAUCUGGAGACGAGAAUCGAAGCUUUGAUCGGUGAUUUGUGACCAAAACUCGUAAAGCUCGUCUCUGUUAAUCUUGUCCACUUUCAACCUCCGUCUCCUACCCAAUGCAUCGAAGAGUUCAAGAGCAAACUCCCUGGAAUCUCUCAUACCUAUGCAUUGGGCAAAAUCGGCGCGAUAAAGAUAACCGUCUUUGGCAAGCUUCUCAAAAUUGCUUUGAACUUCGUUCCAUGCAUCUACACCGUUGCUUUUACUGUUACUUAUAAACCUCAAUCCACGCAGCGCUUUUUGAGCACCGGAACGAGUCCGGUCCAGCUGUGCACGCUGCUUUCUCAAAGCUCGAGCAGCCAAAGCCGACUCAAAUCCACUUCCAACUCCAUCAUUGCUCGGCGAAGCCGACAACACCUUCGAAGCGUGUCCAUGGCUCCAAGAAAACCUCCUCAGCUCUGCUUUCAACUCCUGCGAAAACUGCUUAGCUUUGGCCACCGCCUCCGCCUUCAACUCCUGCGAGAACUGUAGAAACUUAUUCGACGAACUCCGCCUGAUCGUCGGCGAUCUCGACGCCGAUGCAGACGCAGAAACUGGAGUUUCAGCUCCAGCUGAGGCGACUCCACUUCCAUCUUCGAUGUUAAUAACCGUGGCCGGCUCGACACUCCGGAGGACAAUAGUGUCAUCAUCCUGCAAAUCAAGCGUGACUUCAACGAACUCUUCAGAAGGAUUGAAGUCAGUACCGGGAGACGUUCCGGCGCUGAACGUUUCCUUGCCGGGAACGGAAUCGGAGGCCCAUCGGCGCUCAUGUUUCGGUAAGCCCUUCAUUGAAAGAUAUCCGACACGUAUCAGUUGUUGUAUAAGGUGGUGGUUUUACCUGUUAAUGCGGGAGAGGGAAAGUGAGAUCGAGCGAUUUGUUAAUCAAGUGAAGGAAGUAUAUAUAUUUGUCUUAAUCUUUGAACGCGUUGGGAAUCUAAUAAAAAA